rnacentral:lncRNA from 1 species
AAUCAGGAGCUAAAAAGUCAUGUAACCCACUGAUCUUUGCCACGUGUCUUUCAAUGCGUUGGAUCCCACGUUAUUACCCUAACAUUAAGUAGCCUCCAACCAAGAAGAGGCAUCACUUCUUUCAUAGGAAUCUCUCUCUCUCUCUCUCUCUCUCUCUCUCUCUCUGCUAGGCUUGCAAAGCAACUAUCUUUACUCGUUAACAGAAAGGAAACACCCAAAUCUUAGCUUGCCCUAACUUCCUCUUCGUCCAUAUAUACCUCUAGAUUCUCUACUAAAAGGUUAUUCCUUUUCUUGUUUUAGUUAUCUUCUCUCCCCUUCUCGCCUUUUCUCCAUCUCUAGACAUGGGUGAUUUUGAGAACAAGGUGAAGGUGAGAGCCAAGGAGCUCACGGUUUUUUUCAAGAAAGGAGUCAGGAUCGUGGGACAAUCAUGCAAGAAAGGAUGGAACAAGGUCAAGAACAUGAAGAAACGUUGAUUGAUGUUGUUAUGAAUACUAUUACCAACAAAUCCCAUGUUUGAUCUCGUUACUCUCUAUAUAUAUGAAUGGAAAAGGAUCUCAUGUGGGUGUUAUUUUGUUUGUUCUUGUAAUAUUUAAGACAUUAUAGGCUUGCUUUUUCUUUAUUAAUUGUUUCUGGGUUGGUCCUUAAUGCUGUUCUAAUCAUGUUUGUGUUGCGAUCUUGCCAUGUUGAUGAUUUAUUAUUGGAUUUAUUGAUGUAAAUUUCUUUAAUCUACUGCUUUGUCUCUCUUCAUCUUUUUUGUGGUGUUGUCUCGGAUGCUAGCUGACCAAGAUUCUAGUGUCCACACUUCAUAGAGCCAUCAAAGUAUGCUAUUAUAAUGGUAGUUCAUAUGUCAUCAAUCAGAUAAUUUUAGAACAAAAUAUGCUAAUUAUUCUAU